GCUAACCGUGGGCGAGCAGGCGCGGAAAUACAGAGGGCCCGAGGGUUGUGCGGAUUCACUGGGCGUAAAGGGUGCGUAGGUGGUGAGGGAAGGCGGAUGUGAAAGCUCGGAGCUCAACUCCGAAAUGGCAUUGGAAACUACCUUGCUCGAGGGUUGGAGGGGGGACUGGAAUGCUUGGUGUAGCAGUGAAAUGCGUAGAUAUCAAGCGGAACACCAGUGGCGAAGGCGAGUCCCUGGACAACUCCUGACACUGAGGCACGAAAGCUAGGGGAGCAAACAGGAUUAGAUACCCGGGUAGUC
rnacentral:rRNA from 1 species